AGCAGCCGCGGUAAUUCCAGCUCCAAUAGCGUAUAUUAAAGUUGUUGCAGUUAAAAAGCUCGUAGUUGAAUUUCGGGAUUCUAUCGUUGGUCAGGCUAUUGUCUGUACUGGCGUUUAGAAUUUCUACCUUCUGGGGAACUAUCAUGUUAUUAAUUUAGCGUGGUAGGAAACCAGGACCUUUACCUUGAAAAAAUUAGAGUGUUCAAAGCAGGCUUA
rnacentral:rRNA from 1 species